UGGACAGAUUCACCACAGAAGGCAUUUCGGGGAUGCUUGCUGAAGGCUUAGCAGCUUUGGAGAGUUCAGAAGCCUUUUCCUUCUCAGGAAGAAAGGGGCUGAUGCCUAAGACCCCUGGCUGAUGCUUGGAAGAUUAUUGAGGUGUCGAGGACCUGAGUCUGAGCAAGAUGACCAGAUGUCAGAAAGGGCCAGAGUGAGAAGGAGCUGUCUCUUUUCAUGGCAUCCCUCAGCUCCAGCAAUAACCAGGAAGCACUCUGCAUACCCCAGCCCUUUCAAAAAGAGAAACCUCCCCCACCCCCGGAACAUCUCCAGCAACCCAUAUAUGGGAAAAGGCAAAGUUGAUGGUUAUCUGGUAACAUUUGAAACAACGUAUUGGAUUUUUUAAAGCAUAAAUGCAUAAAUAGCAAAAGAGAGGAGGCAACAGCAGCAAAAUUUGGAAGCUGAGAAGCAGCUGGAGGAGUGGUC